rnacentral:rRNA from 1 species
UGGCGAGAGGAUUCAGUCUGGCUCGGAGGACGUCUCCGCGGAAGUCGAGCAGGGCUUCCCGAGACCGGGGCCGUCCGCGGGGGCGACUUCUUCCGUUCCAGACGCAUUUGUCUCUCGUCCUAAGGACGCUGCAGCCGGUCUGGAAGUGCAAGCGCGACGGCCUGAAGGUCGGGUAAUGGCAGGUGGCCGGCGGCUCGCCUCGUGCGGGUUGUCGGUUGUUAGCCGUCCCGUCAGUGGCCCGUCUCCAGACCGUGGUGUCGCGAGUCCCUCACGGGACUCAUCGUCUCCCACCCCGAGUCGCGGGACUGAGAGUCGCAAGGGUCUUUCGUUCCCGCCGUCGCACUCUUACGGAGUGGGCGGAGGGGCGCGAGGCCCCGUUGGUGGCUUCGGACCCGCGGGGGACCGGAGGCUGGCAGCGAGUAGGUCGGUCACCCACCCGACCCGUCUUGAUAACACGGACCAAGGAGUACUAACAUGUGCGCGAGUCAAUGGGUCUUGACUAGGCCCAGGGGCGCAAUGAAAGCGAAGGACUGCCCAGCGCAGUCUGAGUGGGGAUCCCUCCUUCCUCCGCGUGGGGGGCGGCACC